rnacentral:rRNA from 1 species
AUGGCCGAGUGGUCUAAGGCGCCAGACUCAAGUUCUGGUCCUCUUACGAGGGCGUGGGUUCAAACCCCACUUCUGACAUUCUUAUUUUUUAUUCCCUUUUUUUGGGCUUUACACAACCUAGAGAUUCACUAUCUCUAUACAUUUUUUUGGAUCUUUCAGACUUUCAUUUCAGCUUAA